UGGGGAAUAUUGCACAAUGGGCGCAAGCCUGAUGCAGCCAUGCCGCGUGUAUGAAGAAGGCCUUCGGGUUGUAAAGUACUUUCAGCGGGGAGGAAGGGAGUAAAGUUAAUACCUUUGCUCAUUGACGUUACCCGCAGAAGAAGCACCGGCUACCUCCGUGCCAGCAGCCGCGGUAAUACGGAGGGUGCAAGCGUUAAUCGGAAUUACUGGGCGUAAAGCGCACGCAGGCGGUUUGUUAAGUCAGAUGUGAAAUCCUCGGGCUCAACCUGGGAACUGCAUCUGAUACUGGCAAGCUUGAGUCUCGUAGAGGGGGGUAGAAUUCCAGGUGUAGCGGUGAAAUGCGUAGAGAUCUGGAGGAAUACCGGUGGCGAAGGCGGCCCCCUGGACGAAGACUGACGCUCAGGUGCGAAAGCGUGGGGAGCAAACAGG
rnacentral:rRNA from 1 species